CAGUAGCCGCGGGAAUACGUAGGGUACAAGCGUUAAUCGGAAUUACUGGGCGUAAAGCGUGCGCAGGCGGUUUGUUAAGACAGAUGUGAAAUCCCCGGGCUCAACCUGGGAACUGCAUUUGUGACUGGCAAGCUAGAGUAUGGCAGAGGGGGGUGGAAUUCCGCGUGUAGCAGUGAAAUGCGUAGAUAUGCGGAGGAACACCGAUGGCGAAGGCAGCCCCCUGGGCCAAUACUGACGCUCAUGCACGAAAGCGUGGGGAGCAAACAGGAUUAGAUACCCGCGUAGUCCCUGUCUCUUAUAC
rnacentral:rRNA from 1 species